GAAUAUUCCACUUGAGGAGUGGUCAGUUCUUGGUUUCUGGUACGAAAAGAAAAGGAACCGAGCCAACAGAUAGAAAAAAGCUCGUUGAUAUUUGGGGAAACACAUUUUAGACAACGAAUAUGAUUUGUCCCUUUUGUGUUACAGUGUUGCAGAUUUUUGCUGAAGAAAUUGUAUCGUGAAAGGGGGAAGAAAAUGGAUAGAAAAGCAUUCCUUUUCCUUGCACAGAGUCUCUUCUGUUUCUUUUCCUUAUUAAAAUCUGCAGUCUGAUCUUUGUGUACUUGAAGAUGCUUCUCUGGCCUGGAAACACAGCUAGGUCUAAAUGUCUCGUGAGACUUCUUCAGGCUCUCUUCUUGUUUGCUGCUGUACAUCUGGACUGAGAGUCAUGCAGAGACAAUAUGGCAGGUGUAAGUUGCUCUUGCAGAUGUAAUACAUUUUCCUCCACAGCAUGCAAGAAAACCACUUCAUUUCCUGUUUUCACCAGAAGGAUAAAAAAAACUUUGG
rnacentral:lncRNA from 12 species